rnacentral:rRNA from 1 species
GACGUAGGGCGCAAGCGUUGUCCGGAUUUAUUGGGCGUAAAGGGCGUGCAGGCGGUUUGUUAAGUGCAGGGUGAAAGCUCCCGGCUCAACUGGGAGAGGUCCUUGCAUACUGGCGAACUCGAGGGAGGCAGAGGAAAGUGGAAUUCCCGGUGUAGUGGUGAUAUGCGUAGAUAUCGGGAGGAACACCUGUGGCGAAGGCGGCUUUCUGGGCCUUACCUGACGCUGAGACGCGAAAGCGUGGGGAGCGAACCGG